rnacentral:lncRNA from 1 species
UUUUUUUCUGUAUUCUUCACGCAAAUCGAAAUAGAGGGGGAGAAGAGAAGAACUUUCAGCGUUGGGGCUGAAAUUUUUACAAGCUUCAAUUGGUUAGUAUAUUCUAGUUCUUUUUACUUGAAGUGUAUGUUUUUGGAAACCUAAUAGCAUGAACUAGCAUACCUAAGUUGAAAUUUGUGGAAUUAUUGUAGUUAAUAGAAAUUACUAUGGUAGAAAAUCUAAGUUCUCAAUAUUAUUUUGAUAGAUUUUUAAAGUUGGAAGUGAAGUUAGAUGAUUUGUAAAGUAAAUUCAUGAAAUUGUACAUUGAGGAUUAUUAUGGAAAAUUUUGAAAAUAUGGGGGUUAAAUUGUUUAUUUAUUUGAAAUUAUCAAUGUAUGAAAAAUAUAUAUAUGUCAUUAAGAUAUUUUGAAGUCUUUUAUUUGAAAGAGUUUUGUUUGGGUGCUUAAUGUUGAAUUUGUAUUAUUUUAUAGAGUAAAAUUUUACUACAUUUAAAAAUUAGGGAUUUAAUUGAGUAAAUUAUAAAUGAGAAGGAUUUUAUUAUAAAUUAAAGAUAUAUAUAGUUGUAUAUUGAGGGUUAAGUAUUCGGCAAUAGUGGGAUAAUAUGAUAAUUGUGGAAUUAACUUGGUUGAUAUGAUGGAUGAAAUUGUAUAGGAUGUAAAUGUUUUGGGGCAAAUGUGUAAAAGUGUAAAUAAGUAGCUAAAUGUAUUGAAUUGAAUGGUAUAUGAAAUUGAGAUUAAUAUUUACAGAGUCAUUUUAGAAACAAGUAGAAUGAUAGUUUGAUAAUUUUAAUUAUUAGUGUUUAAUUAAGUAUAAUGAUUAACUUAAGUGAGUGAUAAAUUAGUAAUUAGUAUUAAAUUUCAAAGUGGGAUUAGAAUAAGGGACUAUUUAAAUAAAUAGUCCAUUAAUUUGAUGAGUUUUGGUUAGUGGAUAAUUAUGAGAGAAUUAUAUAAUAUAUAUAUAUAUAUAUAUGUGUGUGUGUGUAAUAUAUGUUAAGUUAUAAUAAAAAAGAAAAUGAUAUGAAAAUAGGAAUAAAAUAAAAGAAACAAAUAGAGUAGUGGGGAAAAGAAAAAGGAAGGAGAAACAAAAAUUAAAGCUUCAUAUCUUGCAUGCCGAUUUGGGGAGAAGAAAGGUUAGCACCAUUCGGCGUUUAAGUGCCAUUUUUGAAGCUUAAUUUUGUUGGGAUGAUUUGAUUAUUUUCAAUUAAAUUUUAUAUUUUUGGAACCUUAAAAUUAUGUAGUAGAUUACUCAUGUGGAAAUUUAGAGAAAUUAUGAUUUUUGUGGAAGUUGUCAUUGUUGAAAAACUUUAAUGUUUGAAGUUGUUUUGAUAGAAUUAGAGGUUAAAUUGUUAACUUUGUGAAGUCUAGGGACUGUUUUGGUGGAUUGUUCUUUGUGCUGGAAAUUUGAGUUGAAUUACUAAGUUUAGUGAGUAAUUAAAAUAUUUUGUACCAUGAGUUUUGUUAGUAUUAACUUUCAAGAAGUUUAAUGCUAUAAAUUAAAUUAGCAUGAUGUUAAGUUAUAAAAUUCAAGAAUUUAGGGAUUGUUAAUAAAUUAUAUGCAUAUUUGGUUAAUUAUGGAAAUGGCAAAUUCAAGGAUUAAAUUGUGAAUUAAUUGAAAGUAUGAGUUGCUUUGAACCUUGUGGAAUAAUUGGUUGAAAUGGGACUUUCUUGAUUUUAAUUAAAUAAUAUGAUUUAUAAUUGGGGAUUUAAUUGUAUCAAGGGUAAAUGUUGAAUGCAAAUAAGUAAAAAUGUAAUUAAAUGGUAGAAUGGUUUGAAUUUGAACUUGAUAUGGUAUUUGAAUUAGUUAAUAAAUUGAUUUAUUAUGUUUUGAUCGUGAAAUGAGUAGAUCAAUUGUAAAUUGGGGAAAAGAGAAGGUUGCAGAAUAAUCAUCUACAGUUUUAGGUAAGUUUCUAGUCCCUAAACUCAAACUUUAUAAAUUGUUUUAAUUAAUCUAGUUGCUUCUUGAUGCCUUAAUAUAUAUCCCUAAUGUAAUUGUUAAUUAAAUUGAAUGGGAGUUUAUGGAGGUAUAAGUUAAUUCAAUUGAAUGGAAUAAAUUAAUGUAUGAUUAGUAGAUAAUUGGAGUGGAAGUGUUAUUAAAUUAUGAAAUUUGAUAUUGAGUUAUGAAAAUGUAAAAAAAAUUAUGGACUUGCAAAUGAAUAAUUGACAUCAUCGAUUCAUUCGACUAGCGUUGGGCGCAAAUAUCAUUGGUUUAUCCAACUAGAGCUGGGCUCAUUAAUUAUUCGUCGAUUUAUCCGACUAGCGCAGGACACAACUUUCGUUAGUUUAUCUGACUAGUGCUAGGCACACAUUCGUCGGUUUAUCUGAUUAAUGCUGGGUGCAAAUAUUGUCGGUUUAUCCAACUAGAGCUGGGCUCACUAAUUAUUCUUCGGUUUAUCCGACUAGCACUGGACGCAACCUCCAUCAGCUUAUCUAACUAGUGUUGGGCGCACAUUUGUCAGUUUAUCCGACUAGCGCUGGGCACAAACGCUUUCGCGGAUUAUCUGCUAGGCACCGGGUGCCGUGUAUCAACUGGACUAUACAACAAGGUUUUAUGAAUGAUCUAAGGAGGAUGGUUAUAGG